rnacentral:rRNA from 1 species
AGGGCGUAUGGGGAAUGCCUAGGCACACUCCGGCGAAGAAGGACGCAGCAAACAGCGAAAUGCGACGGUGAGCGGUAAGCACGUGAAGAGCCGUCGAUAUCCGAAUGGGGGAACCCACACGGAGUCAUAUCCGUGUAUCACAUGUCGAAUACAUAGACAUGAUGAGGCGAGACGCAGGGAACUGAAACAUCUAAGUACCUGCAGGAAGAGAAAAUAAGAAUGAUUUUCUGAGUAGCGGCGAGCGAAAGGGAAAGAGCCCAAACCGAUCUGAGGAUCGGGGUAGUAGGAUCAUCAAUAAAUCUGACAGAGGAUCAUAGAGGAAUCACAUGGGAAGGUGAGCGAGAGAGGGUGAGAGCCCCGUACUCGAAAUGAGAGACUGGAGAGAGAUGACACCUGAGUAGGGCGGGACACGAGAAAUCCUGUCUGAAUCAGCCGGGACCAUCCGGCAAGGCUAAAUACGAGAGAGUGACCGAUAGUGAACCAGUACCGUGAGGGAAAGGUGAAAAGAACCCCGGGAGGGGAGUGAAAGAGAACCUGAAACCAUAUGCCUACAAGAAGUCAGAGCCCGUUAAAGGGUGAUGGCGUGCCUUUUGUAGAAUGAACCGGCGAGUUACUGUAUGGAGCGAGGUUAAGCAGGAUAUGCGGAGCCGAAGCGAAAGCGAGUCUUAAGAGGGCGCGAGUUGCAUGCAGUAGACCCGAAACCGGGUGAUCUAGCCAUGACCAGGUUGAAGUUGGGGUAAAACCCGAUGGAGGACCGAACCGACCCCCGUUGAAACGUUGGCGGAUGAGUUGUGGCUAGGGGUGAAAUUCCAAUCGAACCCGGAGAUAGCUGGUUCUCCCCGAAAUAGCUUUAGGGCUAGCGUCGAGAGAAGAGUUGCGUGAAGGUAGAGCACUGAAUAUGUGAUGGCCCCAUCUCGGGGUACUGAGCAUAAUCAAACUGCGAAUGUCACGCCAACAUGCUCGGCAGUCAGACAGCGGGUGAUAAGGUCCGUUGUCAAGAGGGAAACAGCCCAGACCAUCAGCUAAGGUCCCAAAAUGUAUGCUAAGUGGAAAAGGAUGUGGAGAUGUACAGACAACUAGGAGGUUGGCUCAGAAGCAGCCAUCCUUUAAAGAGUGCGUAACAGCUCACUAGUCGAAUGACUCUGCGCCGAUAAUUUACCGGGGCUAAGCAUACUACCGAAGCUAUGGAUCCCAAGGGAUGGUAGGGGAGCGUUCCAUGAACGGAGAAGUACGACCGAAAGGACGUGUGGAGAUCAUGGAAGAGAGAAUGCCGGUGUGAGUAGCGGAACGUGGGUGAGAAUCCCACGCACCGAAAACCCAAGGUUUCCAGAGGAAGGUUCGUCCGCUCUGGGUAAGUCGGGACCUAAGGCGAGGCCGAAAGGCGUAGUCGAUGGACAACAGGUAGAGAUUCCUGUACCCGUAUAUAUGUGAAGGAAUGACGGAGAGAGGAAGCUGCAGCCAGCGGCUGGAAGAGCUGGUGCAAGCGAGAUAUCGGGAUGGCAGGCAAAUCCACCAUCCGAAACGAGAAGGCGUGAAGCGUACGGAAAGCUACGGCGAGUACGGAAGGCAGUGGAGGAACUUCCAAGAAAAGUUUCUAACGUUAAGUAUAUAUGGCCCGUACCGAAAAUGGACACACAUGGGUGAGGAGAGAAUCCUAAGGUGAGCGAGAGAACUAUAGCUAAGGAACUCUGCAAAAUGACUCCGUAACUUAGGGAGAAGGAGUGCUCAUAGAGAUAUGAGCCGCAGUGAAACGGCCCAAGCGACUGUUUACCAAAAACACAGCUCUCUGCUAAGCCGCAAGGCGAAGUAUAGGGGGUGACGCCUGCCCGGUGCUGGAAGGUUAAGGGGAGGGGUUAACGCAAGUGAAGCCCUGAACUGAAGCCCCAGUAAACGGCGGCCGUAACUAUAACGGUCCUAAGGUAGCGAAAUUCCUUGUCAGGUAAGUUCUGACCCGCACGAAAGGUGUAACGAUUUGAGCACUGUCUCGACAACACGCCCGGUGAAAUUGAAGAACCAGUGAAGAUACUGGUUACCCGCAACAGGACGGAAAGACCCCAUGGAGCUUUACUGCAGCUUAAUAUUGGGAUUCGGUAUUGUAUGUACAGGAUAGGAGGGAGACUAAGAAGCUAGCACGCCAGUGUUGGUGGAGUCGAUGGUGGGAUACCUCUCUUAUAAUACUGAAUUUCUAACCUACUUCCGUGAUCCGGAAGAGGGACAUUGUUAGGCGGGCAGUUUGACUGGGGCGGUCGCCUCCGAAAGAGUAACGGAGGCGCUCAAAGGUCUUCUCAGAAUGAUUGGAAACCAUUCAAAGAGUGUAAAGGCAAAAGAAGGCUUGACUGCGAGAGUGACAACUCGAGCAGGUACGAAAGUAGGACUUAGUGAUCCGGUGGUAACAAGUGGGAGUGCCAUCGCUUAACGGAUAAAAGCUACCCUGGGGAUAACAGGCUUAUCUCCCCCAAGAGUUCACAUCGACGGGGAGGUUUGGCACCUCGAUGUCGGCUCAUCGCAUCCUGGAGCUGAAGUCGGUUCCAAGGGUUGGGCUGUUCGCCCAUUAAAGCGGUACGCGAGCUGGGUUCAGA